UGCAGAGGGGGCAAGCGUUGUUCGGAAUUACUGGGCGUAAAGGGCGCGUAGGCGGCCUGUUAAGUCGAACGUGAAAUCCCUGGGCUCAACCCAGGAACUGCGUCCGAUACUGGUAGGCUUGAAUUCGGGAGAGGGAUGUGGAAUUCCGGGUGUAGCGGUGGAAUGCGUAGAGAUCCGGAAGAACACCGGUGGCGAAGGCGGCCUGCUGGGCCGUACCUGACGCUGAGGCGCGAAGGCUAGGGGAGCGAACGGG
rnacentral:rRNA from 1 species